CCGCUUGCUCACGCUUUCUCCGAUGACAAGAUGGUUAGCUGCACAAACUCCCCCCUCUGCUACUAGUGAUUUGAAGUUAACCGGUGCCUAAUGAUUUCAAGUUACUGACAAUCUUUAAUCUAGUGAUGUGAAUUAGUACUAGUGCUUAAUGAAUUACUUGAUGUGUAUGUGCAAGAAUUACGUGCUUGGUAUAUGUCCUUGGACAUUUUAAUCAUAGCGGUCUCAUCUGGCAGAUGGACGGGAACGAGAUGAAGCCGCUCCAGGGGGUGCCGCCCAUGUGGGGGAGCAUUGCGGCUUCAAGCUUGGUUGGUAAGUACUCCAUCCUGGUUUUCUGUCAGUAUCACGGCUGAUUUUUUGUCAACAUUAGUAUUAUGAUAUUGGACUGAAGCUCGUUAGUUCUGUCCAUGCUGGAUUUUUGGUAUGAUCUGUAUACUGAUAUUGGAUUGAAACUUGUUAUCUCUGUCCAUGCUAGUUUUUUUGUCAUCAUUAGUAUAGUGAUAUAUUGGACUGAAGCUGCACAUAUUUUCUUUCCAUUAACGUUGGUCGGGCGGUGCUACGCGUCAGUCGGGGCAUCCUGGCCACCUUACCCGCCUGAUUUUAAUCAAAUUCCACCUAAUUUGUUUUGUCACUAGCUGCGUAUACAAACGCGAGCUCCAGAACUCUGUUGCAGCAUGGGAGACGUAUGAAAUGUAAUAAGAAAU
rnacentral:lncRNA from 1 species